rnacentral:rRNA from 1 species
UACGGAGGGUGCAAGCGUUGUCCGGAAUCACUGGGCGUAAAGGGCGCGUAGGCGGCUCAUGAAGGCUGUGGUGAAAGUCCGGGCUCAACCUCGGAUCGGCCGUGGCGACUCGUGGGCUGGAGCACUGUAGAGGCGGGUGGAAUUCCGGGUGUAGCGGUGGAAUGCGUAGAGAUCCGGAAGAACACCAGUGGCGAAGGCGGCCCGCUGGGCAGUGGCUGACGCUGAGGCGGCGACAG